rnacentral:rRNA from 1 species
GACGAACGCUGGCGGCGUGCCUAAUACAUGCAAGUCGAGCGGACUAAUGGGAGCUUGCUCCCGUUAGUUAGCGGCGGACGGGUGAGUAACGCGUGGGCAACCUACCUGUAAGACUGGGAUAACUUCGGGAAGCCGGAGCUAAUACCGGAUGACAUAACGGAACUCCUGUUCCUUUAUUGAAAGAUGGCUUCGGCUAUCACUUACAGAUGGGCCCGCGGCGCAUUAGCUAGUUGGUGAGGUAACGGCUCAACAAGGCGACGAUGCGUAGCCGACCUGAGAGCGUGAUCGGCCACACUGGGACUGAGACACGGCCCAGACUCCUACGGGAGGCAGCAGUAGGGAAUCUUCCGCAAUGGACGAAAGUCUGACGGAGCAACGCCGCGUGAGCGAUGAAGGCCUUCGGGUCGUAAAGCUCUGUUGUUAGGGAAGAAUAAGUGCUAGUUGAAUAAGCUGGCACCUUGACGGUACCUAACCAGAAAGCCACGGCUAACUACGUGCCAGCCGCCGCCGUAACAC